UCGAGAAUUUUUCUCAAUGGGCGCAAGCCUGAAGGAGCGACGCCGCGUGUGGGAUGAAGGGUUUCGAUCCGUAAACCCCUGUCAUUUGUGAACAAUGGCUGUUCUUUAAAAGAUGGCAGCUUGAUAGUACUGAAAGAGGAAGGGACGGCUAACUCUGUGCCAGCAGCCGCGGUAAUACAGAGGUCCCAAGCGUUGUUCGGAUUUACUGGGCGUAAAGGGAGCGUAGGUGGCGGGCUAAGUCUAAUGUGAAAGCUCUGAGCUUAACUCAGAAAUGGCAUUGGAUACUAGUUCGCUUGAGGAUUGGAGGGGAGACUGGAAUGCUCGGUGUAGCAGUGAAAUGCGUAGAUAUCGAGCGGAACACCAGUGGCGAAGGCGAGUCUCUGGACAAUUCCUGACACUGAUGCUCGAAAGCUAGGGGAGCAAA
rnacentral:rRNA from 1 species